GAUGAACGCUGGCGGCGUGCCUAAUACAUGCGAGUCGAGCGAACAGACGAGGAGCUUGCUCCUCUGACGUUUGCGGCGUACGGGUGAGUAACACGUGGAUAACCUACCUAUAAGACUGGGAUAACUUCGGGAAACCGUAUCUAAUUCCGGCAAAUAUGUUGAACCACAUGGUUCAAUAGUGAAAGACGGUUUUGCUUUCACUUAUAUAUGGGUCCGCGCCGCAUUAGCUAGUUGGUAAGGUAACGGCUUACCCAGGGAACGAUGCGUAGCCGACCUGAGAGGGUGAUCGGCGACCCUGGAGCUGAGACACGGUCCAGACGCCUACGGGAGGCAGCAGUAGGGAAUGGGCCGCAAUGGGCGAGAGCAUGACGGAGCAAAGCAGGGGGAGUGAUGAAGGACUUCGGAUCGUAAAACACUGUUAUUGGGGAAGAACAAAUGUGUAAGUAGCGAUGCAAGUAUGGCGGGUACAUAAGCAGAAAGGCAGGGCAAAUUCCGG
rnacentral:rRNA from 1 species